rnacentral:rRNA from 1 species
AUUGAACGCUGGCGGCAGGCCUAACACAUGCAAGUCGAGCGGAGAGGCGGACGGGUGAGUAAUGCCUAGGAAUCUGCCUGGUAGUGGGGGAUAACGUCGGGAAAGGGGCGCUAAUACAGCAUACUAUCAAGUGAGCCUAGGUCGGAUUAGCUAGUUGGUGGGGUAAAGGCCUACCAAGGCGACGAUCCGUAACUGGUCUGAGAGGAUGAUCAGUCACACUGGAACUGAUACACGGUCCAGACUCCUACGGGAGGCAGCAGUGGGGAAUGUUGGGCAAUGGGCGAAAGCCUGAUCCAGCAAUGCCGCGUGUGUGAAGAAGGUCUUCGGAUUGUAAAGCACUUUAGUUUGGGAGGCGUUACCAACAGAAUAAGCAACGGCUAACUUCGUGCCAGCAGCCGCGGUAAUAC